GUUAUUAUCUCGCUCUGAAGCACGGAGGAGCAUCAGAGUUUCCCUCCUUUGGCCCUGAAUUGACUGGAUGAUGGACAGAAGAAGGUCUGAUGGAGUCUUCUCUUUUGGACACCCUGUGGAUACACACUCUUG